rnacentral:rRNA from 1 species
GCCGACCUGAGAGGGUGAUCGGCACACUGGGACUGAGACACGCCCAGACUCCUACGGGAGGCAGCAGUAGGGAAUCUCCGCAAUGGACGAAAGUCUGACGGAGCAACGCCGCGUGAGUGAUGAAGGUUUUCGGAUCGUAAAACUCUGUUGUUAGGGAAGAACAAGUACCGUUCGAAUAGGGCGGCACCUUGACGGUACCUAACCAGAAAGCCACGGCUAACUACGUGCCAGCAGCCGCGGUAAUACGUAGGUGGCAAGCGUUGUCCGGAAUUAUUGGGCGUAAAGCGCGCGCAGGCGGUUUCUUAAGUCUGAUGUGAAAGCCCCCGGCUCAACCGGGGAGGGUCAUUGGAAACUGGGGAACUUGAGUGCAGAAGAGGAGAGUGGAAUUCCACGUGUAGCGGUGAAAUGCGUAGAGAUGUGGAGGAACACCAGUGGCGAAGGCGACUCUCUGGUCUGUAACUGACGCUGAGGCGCGAAAGCGUGGGGAGCGAACAGGAUUAGAUACCCUGGUAGUCCACGCCGUAAACGAUGAGUGCUAAGUGUUAGAGGGUUUCCGCCCUUUAGUGCUGCAGCAAACGCAUUAAGCACUCCGCCUGGGGAGUACGGUCGCAAGACUGAAACUCAAAGGAAUUGACGGGGGCCCGCACAAGCGGUGGAGCAUGUGGUUUAAUUCGAAGCAACGCGAAGAACCUUACCAGGUCUUGACAUCCUCUGACAACCCUAGAGAUAGGGCUUCCCCUUCGGGGGCAGAGUGACAGGUGGUGCAUGGUGUCGUCAGCUCGUGUCCGAGUUGUC